UCAAACAUGGCAAGUGAUACAAGAAGAGAGGCGACUCACCCGAGGUUGGAAGGAGUUCGCUGAGGCACAUGACCUUCGAAUAGGAGACAUUGUCAUCUUCAAACUCAAAGGUUCCAUGGUCUUUCACGUCACUCCUUUUGGUCCGAGCUGCUGUGACAUCCAGUACACAUAUCCCAACUCAAUGGAAGAAGCCCAUGACCACCAGAACAAUAGUUAGUGUGAUUCAAAGUCACCGUACUAGCAUAGGUUACUUAUGAGGUUUUUUGAAGUUGUUGUUUGUUUCUUGUGUUUCAGCAGGAAUAGGGGCAAGGUUUUCUUACUCGUGGGACUACUGUUUUAAGGCUGAGGUCACGGAUUCUAAUGUCCGUGAAGACAAACUUGAUCUCCCUGUGGGGGCUACUGGUUGUAAUGCUCUGAACAAAGAAUGCAAAAAGGCGAAACUAGUGAACAUAGAGGGAAAGGCGUGGAAUGUGUCAAUGCGAUUUAACGAAUCAGGCGGCUUCUACUACAUCAAAGGGUGGAGAAAGUUCUGUGCUGAAAACAAAUGCCACAUUGGAGACAGCUUUGUCUUCAAUGUGGUUGGAGAUGGGAACACUUGGCCAUUGAUGUGUGUCUGUGCUCCAAGUAAGGAGUGUCUUAAAUCUGCAGGUGACAUUGCUUCUUCCUCCCGGGUGAACUAGGAAGAUCAUGUGUUCUAGUUGGGGACGCGUCUAUGUUGGUUGUGACUUGAUCUUAAGAGCACAAUGUCUUGUGCUUUGAACUUAUUUUGUGUGUCUUUUAUAUGUUUGCUUUUUGGUACUUUGAACUUUUGGUUAAUCAUUUUCACGUCCUGAAUGAUGAUAUAGAUUUGGUCUGUGACUUUAGUUAAUCAUUUUUCGACUUUUAGUUAAUCAUUUUCUUGAUUUUGGUUUGAUGUUGCAAACUUGUUAUUUUAGUAUAAUGUCACAAGACACACGCAUAGAGAAGUAAACCACAAAACACAUAAACAUUAGAUAGAUAGUUUAAGUCAUAAGACACACACAUAGAGUCAUAAGACACACACAUAGAGAAGGAAAGUAGCAACAUGGAUCAAAGUACCAUCAUACGACAUAGAACAACAACAACAACAACUUAGAACAACAACAACUUAGAGCAACAAGAUGGGAUCAUGGACGGUGGAGUUGGUAAAGCUGAGCCUUGAGGCGAUCAAUCUCCUCAGCCAUCUCUUUGACACGGUCUACUAACUUAGUAACCUCGUCCUGAAUCGCGAACACCCACGGCGUACGAAAGUGGAGACCAUUAUUCUGCACAAGUUUUAUCACAAGUUAUACAAGUUUUUCAAGUUUUCCAGUUUUACCAGUUUCCUAGUUUUCCUAGUUUUCCUAGUUUUCUAGUUUUCCUAGUUUUCCUAGUUUUCCUAGUUAUGCAAGUUUUACCUGCUUAGCAGGUUCUAGUUAUACAAGUUUUACCAGUUUUGCACGACAUGAAAAUUACCUCAAAGUUUUUGCAGGUGAAGUACCUCCUUCUAGGUUGCGUAUCAAAAUCAUUGGGAAACUUGUUACACGGAGAUACCUCGGGAAUGAUACCUCCACCACACGGGCACUUGGUCGGGACGCCGUACUGUGCAUCAGCCACGAAACCAAGCAUGUCGUUGUGUCUCUUCAAGGCCUUCAUGUGACUGUACUCCUCGUCGGGAUGAGUCAUGCUUCAGUUCUUACUGUCAGAGAGAAAUGGGAGAAACCGAAAGAGAUCGAGAGAGAGGAAUGAGGGAUGGAGUGGAGAGAGAGAGAGAGAUGGCUCGGUAAAGAAGGGGGAGGAGAAGUAGAGGGAUGGAGUGGAGAGAGAGAGAGAUGGGACGUGACAUAGAGGGGAAAUGGAAGAAAAUAGAGAAAAAAAAUGAAAAUAGUUAAAAUAAUUAAAAUAAUUAUUUUCCCUCAUAUGUUUUGGCGCCAAUGUAAUUUCAUUUCCCUCCCCGAAAUUUGUUCUUAGUUUUACAUAAGAUACUAGUUUUACGAGAUUUGCUCAUAGUUGUACUUUCUGUGGUUUAUAAUUUAUUCAGUGUUACCAGUGCUUUCAGUUUGGUUUUCUUGUUUUACUUUCGAUUUUAGUACUUGAACAUGAUAUUUAUCUUGUUCACUGCACAAAUAUUUGGGAAACAAACAUUACCUGAUAAUCUCUUUUGUGACAUGUUCUUCAUUCACAAAGUGUGAGUGAAACUAUAAGGUUUAUUAUGGAGAUAGUAAGAGUUUUCAUAAUUUUUGAGAAAGUUUUGAAAAAAACAUGUUUAAUUGAAUUAUUAGUCAGACUAGAGUAAUCAUAAUAGUAAAUGUCAUAACGAAUCAAGUUUGCAUCUACAUAAUAAUAAUGUCACACUCGAAACACAAUGCAGUUUUACAAAGAAGAAAAAAUAGUUUUCC